rnacentral:lncRNA from 1 species
GAAUGACUGAAGUCACUGAUCUCAGAGCUGCUCUUUCCGUCUCGGUUCUGCUGUGACGAAGCUUCAGAGUGACGCAGACUCAGAGGACGGAGAAGCAGAAGACUUCUUCUCCACAGAGCUGCUCUGGACCGCAGAAGAAGAGUCUUUGAGUUCUCCUCUUCAUCAAGGCUGCUGCUGCUGCUGUCUCAGAUGGAAGCUAAACAUGCAUGUGAGCUGAUGUGAAUCCAGCAGCAUGGAUCUGAGAGAGGACGGAGCCCCUCCCUCUAUUAAUGCUCUACGACAGAAGCGUGAGAGCCAGAGCAAAGCUCAGCGGAACCAGCCCAGACUGGGAUCCAGCUCCAGUGGGUCCCUGAGAAGUGACCGUUCAAAGGAAGAUGGUCCUGACUUCAAAGGAAACACCAAGACGUCACCCAGGAGGAACCAGCCCAGACUGGGAUCCAGCUCCAGUGGGUCCCUGAGAAGUGACCGUUCAAAGGAAGAUGGUCCUGACUUCAAAGGAAACACCAAGACGUCACCCAGGAGGUACAUAGGUCCCUUUUUCUUUAAGUUUUCAGUUCAGCAGCACCAGCUUCAGUCUUUGAGCAGCAUUUGUAGUGUGUUUGAUUCUACAAGCCAUGA